rnacentral:rRNA from 1 species
ACGGGGUGCAGUAGGCGCGAAAACUUUACAAUGCGGGAAACCGUGAUAAGGGAAUCUCGAGUGCCAGCAUAUAAUGUUGGCUGUCCAGAUGCCUAAAAAGCAUCUGUUAGCAGGGGCCGGGCAAGACCGGUGCCAGCCGCCGCGGUAACACCGGCGGCCCGAGUGGUAACCGCUUUUAUUGGGUCUAAAGGGUCUGUAGCCGGCCAAGUAAGUCCCUUGGGAAAUCUGGCAGCUUAACUGUCAGGCUGCUAGGGGAUACUGCUGGGCUUGGGACCGGGAGAGGUGAGAGGUACCUUGGGGGUAGGGGUGAAAUCUUGUGAUCCUCGGGGGACCACCAGUGGCGAAGGCGUCUCACCAGAACGGGUCCGACGGUAAGGGACGAAAGCUAGGGGCACGAACCGGAUUAGAUACCCGGGUAGUCCUAGCCGUAAACGAUGCUCGCUAGGUGUCAGUCACGGUGCGACCGUGAUUGGUGCCGUAGGGAAGCCGUGAAGCGAGCCACCUGGGAAGUAUGGCCGCAAGGCUGAAACUUAAAGGAAUUGGCGGGGGAG